GACGAACGCUGGCGGCGUGCUUAACACAUGCAAGUCGAACGGGAUCCGGGCUUUCGGGUUUGGUGAGAGUGGCGAACGGGUGAGUAACACGUGAGUAACCUGCCCCCUUCUUUGGGAUAACGUCGGGAAAUCGGCGCUAAUACUGGAUAUUCUUGCUGCAUCGCAUGGUGUGGUUUGGGAAGGGUUUCUGGUGGGGGAUGGGCUCGCGGCCUAUCAGCUUGUUGGUGGGGUGAUGGCCUACCAAGGCUUUGACGGGUAGCCGGGCUGAGAGGGUGUCCGGCCACACUGGGACUGAGACACGGCCCAGACGCCUACGGGAGGCAGCAGUGGGGAAUAUUGCACAAUGGGCGCAAGCCUGAUGCAGCGACGCCGCGUGAGGGAUGACGGCCUUCGGGUUGUAAACCUCUUUCAGUAUGGAACAAGGAUCCUUCUUUUGGGGGGUUUGAGGGUACGUGCAGAAGAAGCGCCGGCUAACUACGUG
rnacentral:rRNA from 1 species